CCUACGGGUGGCAGCAGUAGGGAAUCUUCCACAAUGGGCGAAAGCCUGAUGGAGCAACGCCGCGUGGGUGAAGAAGGUCUUCGGAUCGUAAAACCCUGUUGUUAGAGAAGAAAGUGCGUGAGAGUAACUGUUCACGUUUCGACGGUAUCUAACCAGAAAGCCACGGCUAACUCCGUGCCAGCAGCCGCGGUAAUACGGAGGGGGCAAGCGUUAUCCGGAUUUAUUGGGCGUAAAGGGAACGCAGGCGGUCUUGUAAGUCUGAUGUGAAAGCGGUCGGCUUAACCGGAGUAGGGCAUUGGAAACUGGGAGACUUGAGGGCAGAAGAAGUGAGUGGAACUCGAUGUGUAGCGGUGAAAUGCGUAGAUAUAAGGAAGAACACCAGUUGCGAAAGCGGCUCACUGGGCUGUAACUGACGCUGAGGUUCGAAAGCGUGGGUAGCGAACAGGAUUAGAUACCCGUGUAGUC
rnacentral:rRNA from 1 species